rnacentral:rRNA from 1 species
CCAACAGGGAUUGCCCCAGUAACGGCGAGUGAAGCGGCAAGAGCUCAAAUUUGAAAUCUGGCCUCCCCCGGGGGCCCGAGUUGUAAUUUGCAGAGGAUGUUUCGGGUGCGGCCGCCGUCUAAGUUCCUUGGAACAGGACGUCAGAGAGGGUGAGAAUCCCGUCUUGGGCGGGCGGUCCGCGCCCGUGUGAAGCUCCUUCGACGAGUCGAGUUGUUUGGGAAUGCAGCUCUAAGCGGGUGGUAAAUUUCAUCUAAAGCUAAAUAUUGGCCGGAGACCGAUAGCGCACAAGUAGAGUGAUCGAAAGGUUAAAAGCACCUUGAAAAGGGAGUUAAACAGCACGUGAAAUUGUUGAAAGGGAAGCGCUUGCGGCCAGACUCGGGGGCGGGGUUCAGCGGGUGCUCGUCGCCCGUGUAUUCCUCGUUUCCCGGGCCAGCAUCAGUUUCGACGGCCGGUCAAAGGCCCCCGGAAUGUGUCGUCUCUCGGGACGUCUUAUAGCCGGGGGUGCAAUGCGGCCCGUCGGGACUGAGGAACGCGCUCCGGCUCGGAUGCUGGCGUAAUGGCCGUAAGCGGCCCGUCUUGAAACACGGACCAAGGAGUCUAACAUCCACGCGAGUGUUCGGGUGUCAAACCCGUGCGCGCAGUGAAAGCGAACGGAGGUGGGAGCCCUAGGGCGCACCAUCGACCGAUCCUGAAGUCUUCGGAUGGAUUUGAGUAGGAGCGUGGCCGUUGGGACCCGAAAGAUGGUGAACUAUGCCUGAAUAGGGUGAAGCCAGAGGAAACUCUGGUGGAGGCUCGCAGCGGUUCUGACGUGCAAAUCGAUCGUCGAAUUUGGGCAUAGGGGCGAAAGACUAAUCGAACCAUC